UUGUUGUUCUGUCCCAGAUUAGCCGCUUGUUCUCGCUCUGCUUUCGCCUUCCUCGAGCUCCCCAGCUAUACGCCACCGCAGUCGCAGUCGCCCUAGCCCCGAGCCCCGCCUACUCCCCUUCUCUCGCGCUCUUCUCUUGCCGAGCCGACCUCGUACCACCGGUGCGGUUCUGCAUCUCGUGUCCCUUGGUGUCCAGCACGAGGAGCGCGGCCGCCGCUUCCGCCCCUGAUACUGCAGCCGCGUACCCGAACCAUCUCCUGUCCGCCGCUGUUUCGUGCUCCAUGGAAUGAUUGGGUUGAGGUACCUGUUCAUCCUACCGAUCUGGAUCGCCGCUCCCUUCUUCAUUCGCCCGUAGCUCGUGAGAUUGGUUCCAUUCGUGUAAUUGUCCGUCCACCGCGUGUAGCUUCCACGCUGUCACUAUUUCUGCCGAGAGUGAUAUGAGAGAUAAUGGAUAAACUUGUCAUAAUUGGUCUGUAGAAGCAGAUUUUGAAAGCUUAGCCUGUGAUAAACACAAAUACGCAAGGAACACUAUUUUCUGGUAAAACUCUGGGAUAUAGCAAAUAACCAGCCUCAGUGCGUCGCUUCACUGAAUCAUAAUCUUGGAGCUGUAUUUACAGUAUCCUUUCCGAAUGACAGCCCAUUUUUUGCUAACAUGUGAAGGAUCAAAAGGCAAAAUAGGAGGAGCUCUUUAUUGCCAUCAUCGGGAGGGGUGCAGAUCAGUCGUUUACAUGGCUGCUCUGCCGAAAGCAGCGCACCAUCACCUACUCCAGGAGAAGCAGCAGACAGUCAUCCUCGCAUCAACAAGGUUGUGUGUGUCUCGGUUACUUGAUUCUCUCUCUCUUAUACAUGCGCACACACACAGUCUGAUCCCCUUUUCUGUGUCUUAGUACACCAGAGAAAUUAAGUAAACGAUGCAGGGGAGCUUGGUGAAGUAACAUUGAUAUGCCAUAGAUCUGGUGAAAGUCAUGGCCUAGAAAAGGUGCGCUGUUAUCUUUUUUGUGUGUGCUGGUUGUCAAAUAAAUAAUUUCAACAUGCUUAUGUAAUUGUUCAGUCUGUGUAGUUCCUUUUUAGAAACGUGUAUAGGCCAGUUGCAUUUGGGUCGAAUUUUUGAUGGUUUCUUCAGGAAUAUAAUAAUGCUGAUGAUGUGGCUCAGAGCAGGAGGUUUCUUUAGGCAUUUUGGUGUUCAUCCUUUGAAGCAGGAGAUUACUCUGCAUACGCCCAGAAUUCAGUCCAUAGAAGGAAUUUGACACGGCCAAGGCACAAAUCUUAUCGUGCGGCACUUGUUUCGCCUAUUCUGCUCCACUUCUAUCUCUAUUCUGCUACAAGUUUGGUUCAUCCUUCAAGUACAUAUGUAUCUCUGAACAAAGGAUUAAGAUUCUGUUAGAUAUACGUGCUCCUAAUGCUCAUUUAAUUACUCAGCUCUACCUUUUAGUACCUGCUUGAAUUACCUACUCCUAGAUAAGGGCAUUUAAAUUUGUUGCCAUCCACCGAAAUAAGAAUCCACAAGCUCCUCAAAUGAAGACUUCCCUACUUGUUUAAUUGUAAACAGGUUCAGGUUUGCACAAGCACAAGCAUAUCUGUGAAAUGAAGUAGUUUGCUUGAUUGUUCUUACGGAAACAAGAUACAAAAUACUUUCACAUUAGUGGGUUUUUUUCUCUUGGAGAGUUCUGGCUUUCCUUAAAUAUUGGUUGUUGAUAUCAUGGCAUUGCUGAUACGUCAUACGUAAGCAUAGUCUUCAACCACCAGCAAUUGAAUCUUUGCUGGUUUACUAUCAGUAGUCAAUGUGUAAAUGAAAGUUUUUGACUUAUUUAUAAAGAUUUUGAUUACCAAUUGGAAUUAGGAACUGAAUGUCUACUACUCCCUUCAAUUUGAAUAUGUCACUCUGUCUCUAUUUGUGCCAGUUGAGACAUCAAGCCAACGAAGAAUUUCGCAUUUAGGUAGAUAAGUAAGGUUAUAAACUUUCAGAAUCUUUAAUUGAAUACAUGUAUCGCCUCUUCUGCAGUUUACGUAUUGGUUAUACUCCAGCGUUUUGAACUUAGUCCUCGCUGAUGCGAACCCUCGGUGAGGCUUUUUACCAUCUCUGAUUUCAAUAUGGUCAUGUUUAUGUUCAUAGGGAGGCCGUGGCAAGGAGACGUCCAUGGCGGGAGGAGGGUCCUGAGCUUGGGUGCGGCUAGAGCGCUACGACGAGUAUGCCCGAGGCCAGGCCUUCUAGCUAUGUGAGUGUGGCUGGCAACAAGAGGACGCAAGUCGUCGCGCCCCUCUCCGCCGUCCUGCUGCUCGCCUCCUCCCCACUCCUUUGUGUCAGCACUCAUGGGGCUCAUAUUGAAUCGUGAUAGAAAAAUAAGCUAGCACCGCAGGCACGUGACAUGUAGACCUUUUUGGCUACGUAAGGCACCACAUACUUGUUACAUUUCUAUUGAUGCAAGACUGGUUUGUAUCACUUGGUACAAUAUCUUAUUUUUAUGAACUAUCCUAUUAAUAACCAUAGAA